rnacentral:rRNA from 1 species
AUACGGAGGGUGCAAGCGUUAAUCGGAAUUACUGGGCGUAAAGGGCGCGUAGGCGGUCUAUCAAGUCAGGUGUGAAAUCCCACAGCUCAACCGUGGAGGUGCAUCUGAAACUGAUAGACUUGAGUAUGGGAGAGGAAAGUGGAAUUCCCGGAGUAGAGGUGAAAUUCGUAGAUAUCGGGAGGAACACCAGUGGCGAAGGCGACUUUCUGGACCAAUACUGACGCUGAGGCGCGUAAGCGUGGGGAGCAAACAGGAUUAGAAACCCUUGUAGUCC